rnacentral:rRNA from 1 species
CAGGCCUAACACAUGCAAGUCGAACGAGAACGGAUUAUAGCUUGCUAUAAUUGUCAGCUAAGUGGCGCACGGGUGAGUAAUAUAUAGUUAACCUGCCCUCAAGAAAGGAAUAACAGUUGGAAACGACUGCUAAUGCCCUAUAUGCCUUUAAUACAUAAGUAUGCAAGGGAAACGCUUUAGUGCUUGAGGAUGGGACUGUAUGGUAUCAGCUUGUUGGUGAGGUAAUGGCUCACCAAGGCUAUGACGCCUAACUGGUUUGAGAGGAUGAUCAGUCACACUGGAACUGAGACACGGUCCAGACUCCUACGGGAGGCAGCAGUGGGGAAUAUUGCACAAUGGACGAAAGUCUGAUGCAGCAACGCCGCGUGGAGGAUGACACAUUUCGGUGCGUAAACUCCUUUUAUAUGGGAAGUAAUGACGGUACCAUAUGAAUAAGCACCGGCUAACUCCGUGCCAGCAGCCGCGGUAAUACGGAGGGUGCAAGCGUUACUCGGAAUCACUGGGCGUAAAGAGCGUGUAGGCGGGUAUAUAAGUCAGAAGUGAAAUCCAAUAGCUUAACUAUUGAACUGCUUUUGAAACUGUGUACCUAGAAUGUGGGAGAGGUAGAUGGAAUUUCUGGUGUAGGGGUAAAAUCCGUAGAGAUCAGAAGGAAUACCGAUUGCGAAGGCGAUCUACUGGAACAUUAUUGACGCUGAGACGCGAAAGCGUGGGGAGCAAACAGGAUUAGAUACCCUGGUAGUCCACGCCCUAAACGAUGCGCACUAGUUGUUGUGAGGCUAGACCUUGCAGUAAUGCAGUUAACACAUUAAGUGUGCCGCCUGGGGAGUACGGUCGCAAGAUUAAAACUCAA